AACGAGAAUUGUUUUGUGUCAGUGCCAAAAAUUGAAUACAUACCUGCAAAUUUUGUAAUUCAUAAAAAUAUUAUAAAUCCAUUAGCAAAUAAAGUUGUAUCCUUGAAAGAUAUGCUGGUAUUAUUGGCACAAUGGGCAAGCAUUAAAGUGCAACUUGGUGAACUACAAAACACAUCAAAUUCAGUUAUAAAAAUUUGAGUAACAAAGGUAUGCUAUUUUUUGUAUCGCCUGAAAGAGUGUCAUUGCCAUUAAAAGCAGUAAAGAAUUCAAGUACUCUCGAAAAAAAAGACAAGAAAGUAUUUAAGUAAAUGGUCAAUUAUUUGUCACAAAUUGGAGUUAAAGACGAAGGAGAUUGUAUAUGUUAUUUACUAAGAAUAGUUUUUUAAAAUGGCCUAGCUGUAAAAUUAAACUAUGCCGGGAGAGGACAAAAAAUUGGAAUAGGAAAAAUGUUGAUUGCAUAU